AAAAUAUACGGCGAUGGAGUUCGCCAAAACUGCUGCAGAGCUAAUGACUCCUACCCAUAU
rnacentral:ncRNA from 2 species